rnacentral:lncRNA from 1 species
CUUACUUCUGCAAACUGUCUUGCGAUAGUUAAGCAGAAUUUAAACUCUGUUUUAAGCAGGAAACCAGAAAGAUUAUUUUGCAGUUGUAGAAGAUUUCAUAACUUAUUAAAACUUAUUAACAUUUUGUGUUGUUUAGAUAUAGGCAGUUGAUACAUACUAACAUCCCAGCCUUUUCAAUAUCAGGGUUAAAUUAUAGGAAAACUCAGUAAAAUGGUACAAAUCUGAAAGUUUGAUGGUAGAAACUGAAGAUUUAACAGAGAACUGUGUUUUACCCGAGUGCCAAAAAUGCUGUGAGCCUCCUUGCACAAAAUUUAUACCACUUUUGCAUUUUUAUCUAUCAGUCCAGAUAGUUGUCUCCCCUCCUUCUCCCAGGACCUCUCCACCAUUAAAAUGCACAAACCACAUGGCCGAUUUCACCAUUUACAUUUAUUUUCAAAAGUUACUACAACCAAAUUAAUUCUAUUAGAAGAAAUGUAGACAAAUUCUAUAAAGACUAUAGAUUGUGACCUAAGAAAGAAAUGAGGCAAAGAACCAAACAUUGAAUUAAAUGCUACAUGGGUGACUAAGAUCUGUUUCAAGUCAGUGAUAAUAUAGCCACUUCUGGGUACUUCAGUAUCAGAGAUCAGUUCUCGUGGUUUAGACAGUUCCUAUCUAUAGCUGACUAUCCUUGUCCUUGAAUAUGGUGUAACUGACUAUUGGCUCUACAGUUUUAUUGGGCCACUUAAGAAAUAUUUCCUUGAAUAAUUAUUUUGAGAAAAAGUCUAAAAGUAAUAAAAAUAAUUUUAAACACACUGUAGUAAGAAAUGACUGUUGGAAA